rnacentral:rRNA from 1 species
AGUGAACGCUGGCGGUAGGCCUAACACAUGCAAGUCGAACGGCAGCACAGUAAGAGCUUGCUCUUACGGGUGGCGAGUGGCGGACGGGUGAGGAAUACAUCGGAAUCUACUUUUUCGUGGGGGAUAACGUAGGGAAACUUACGCUAAUACCGCAUACGACCUACGGAUGAAAGCAGGGGAUCUUCGGACCUUGCGCGAUUGAAUGAGCCGAUGUUGGAUUAGCUAGUUGGCGGGGUAAAGGCCCACCAAGGCGACGAUCCGUAGCUGGUCUGAGAGGAUGAUCAGCCACACUGGAACUGAGACACGGUCCAGACUCCUACGGGAGGCAGCAGUGGGGAAUAUUGGACAAUGGGCGCAAGCCUGAUCCAGCCAUACCGCGUGGGUGAAGAAGGCCUUCGGGUUGUAAAGCCCUUUUGUUGGGAAAGAAAAGCAGCAGGUUAAUACCCCGCUGUUCUGACGGUACCCAAAGAAUAAGCACCGGCUAACUUCGUG